rnacentral:rRNA from 1 species
UACGUAGGGGGCAAGCGUUGUCCGGAUUCAUUGGGCGUAAAGAGCGUGUAGGCGGCCUGAAAGGUCAGCUGUGAAAACUCGAGGCUCAACCUCGAGACGUCGGUUGAAACCGUACGGCUAGAGUCCGGAAGAGGAGAGUGGAAUUCCCGGUGUAGCGGUGAAAUGCGCAGAUAUCGGGAAGAACACCCGUGGCGAAGGCGGCUCUCUGGGACGGUACUGACGCUGAGACGCGAAAGCGUGGGGAGCGAACAGG